rnacentral:sRNA from 1 species
UUUUUGAUCCGCUCCGCUCUACAUUAAUCCUUAACCGAACUGGCAAUACAUGUGCGGGUUAACUAUUGCUCCAUCUAUCGAGAUUACACAUUUUUUAACUUUGGUGACUUCUUGUUUUGACCAAUCAAAACAAGUUUAUGGAAAAGAAAUGCUUAGCAACAUGGCUGCGCUCAUUUACAAGUUGUAUAUAGAACUCGAAUUUAGAGAAAAGACGGAUUUAUUGGAACUAAAAGUCAACUAGAAACGAGCUUGUUGCAAAGCAACGAUUAGGUCUUCCGUCGCAGCUGCGUCAUACUUGUGACGAAAUACAAAAUUGAUUACGUGGCCAUGAAACAAUGUUAGAUGUAUAGACCAUGAAUUCAACAGACAAAUGCUUUCGAUUUGAUAUACGUAAAAGUUUGUUUCAAGAUGAUUUGUUUAUGAAAUACAAUUCCUCUGGAGCCAUAAACAUGUACAUUAAAGUUAAUUGAUAUACU